rnacentral:rRNA from 1 species
AACACAUGCAAGUCGAGGGGCAGCAUGAGGUAGCAAUACCUUGAUGGCGACCGGCGCACGGGUGAGUAACGCGUAUGCAACCUGCCUGAUACCGGGGUAUAGCCCAUGGAAACGUGGAUUAACACCCCAUAGUACUUUUAUCCUGCCUGGGAUGGGAGUUAAAUGUUCAAGGUAUCGGAUGGGCAUGCGUCCUGUUAGUUAGUUGGCGGGGUAACAGCCCACCAAGACGAUGAUAGGUAGGGGUUCUGAGAGGAAGGUCCCCCACAUUGGAACUGAGACACGGUCCAAACUCCUACGGGAGGCAGCAGUGAGGAAUAUUGGUCAAUGGACGUAAGUCUGAACCAGCCAAGUCGCGUGAGGGAAGACUGCCCUAUGGGUUGUAAACCUCUUUUAUAAGGGAAGAAUAAGUUCUACGUGUAGAAUGAUGCCUGUACCUUAUGAAUAAGCAUCGGCUAACUCCGUGCCAGCAGCCGCGGUAAUACGGAGGAUGCGAGCGUUAUCCGGAUUUAUUGGGUUUAAAGGGUGCGUAGGCGGUUUAUUAAGUUAGUGGUUAAAUAUUUGAGCUAAACUCAAUUGUGCCAUUAAUACUGGUAAACUGGAGUACAGACGAGGUAGGCGGAAUAAGUUAAGUAGCGGUGAAAUGCAUAGAUAUAACUUAGAACUCCGAUAGCGAAGGCAGCUUACCAGACUGUAACUGACGCUGAUGCACGA